GUUGAAGUUCUCAGACGAGAAGUGAAAGUAAAAAAUAAAAACUUUUCAAAAAUUGUAAUCAUGUUAACCUUGAAAUUAGCAGUCAUCACGUUCAUGGUAAUGUUCGCUUCAUUCGCAAUGUGCUCACAACCCCAUGGCUACGGUUACUGUGGCAACAAACUUGGCUGGCCGAGAUCUUGCUGGCGAUACUGUAGCGGUAACUCAGGAUCGUGGUGCUGGACUGAUCGGGGUUUCUCUUGUCGCCAUGCAACGAGCGUUAACAUGGCUGGCAAUUGCCGAGGGCAACGGUGUUACUCGUCCAGAACAUUAUUGCCUGGAGCCGUAAACGAUUGCUAAGAAUUCAUUGAAUUAUGUUCCUUUUUAGGUUUAGUUCACGGCUGAGUGAACGAAAUAGAAAGGAAAAAAGAAAUUUUAAUGAAGAUUU